AAUUAUUUACGUUAUGAGGUGUUUUGAGAUUAAAUUUGUGAUGUAAUUGCAUCAUAGUUCACGUCGUGUUUUUGAUUGGAUGGAAAAUAGAGUUUAUUAAUAGUUGUAGAAAUUGG
ensembl:ncRNA R03C1.5 ncRNA